CCUCAAGCACCAGAAUGUGUCCAGCCCUGCCUCUGCGCAUCCAGCGAUGCCCUGGCUGUGUCGGAAGCGCAAGACGCACACUUAGGAUUUUCAGCUUGGCUGUGGGUUUAUUGGGCCGUAACCCCAACGUAGGCAGGUAGCCAACUGGAGGAGACUGUUUUCUAGACCCUUAGGUGGCCUCUGACCCCAGAAGUCAUCAGCGGAAGAUUUGGGCUGGGGAGUGAGCAGCUAACCAGAGGCGGUACCCCUGCCCGGAAGUGUGUCCUGGACCUUGGUUUGGUUGGGUCCCUCAGGUGUUGCCCACACAGACCGUAACUACCUGGCAAUCGAGAAGGGUGCCAGAUGGACACUGGGGGUGAAAACACAGCCACGCCUGGUGGGGAAGCGGGUGGAGGUGCUCAGGAGGCAACCAGGAGAGUGCAGUGCAGCACUGCCCGCACCAAGCCUGGGCUGGGGCUCAACAGGAAGCGUGGAGAUGGCGCAAAUGCACCGCAGGGACUCAGAGGGAUCACGCUGGGCUUAAAAGGCCCAGAGCAAACAGACUCAACCGUUAGGAAGCAGGGGAAGUGGCCCGAUCUUAACGGAAAUUUCCCAGCAAGAGGACAGGCUUCCUUGUCCGGGGCCAUCCAGGCUCACACCUGACUGAGUCCCGCAGACUUGGCUGUGCCCACAGCGCCUGUCUCACUCAGUGUAAACCGAGAUGAGUUGCAUCCAUCGGCUCCCGAUUACCAAGAAUCAAGAGGCGAUGGAUGGAAACCUUGGGGGAAGCAGGGCCUGGAGGGCCAGUGUCCCCUGAGUCUGUGAGACACUCCAGGAAGGAGGGGGGCGGGCCUGGGCUGCAACCUGUCCCUCCGAAGGCCACCUGCAAGACAGGGCUGAAACUGGCUGCUGGCAGAGACCCCCCAACCCACAGAACACUGGCUCCCUGCUGAAGGAAGAACUGCUCCAAAGCAGAAAGAGCAGGGCCCAGCGGGUAAGGAGCAGGAACUGAAGAGCUUUACAAAGAACAAAAAAGGCUGGGCAGGGCAGCUCUCACCUGUAAUCCCAGCACUUUGGGAGGCCAAGGUAGGAGGAUCUCUUGAGGCCAGGCGUUUCAGACCAGCCUGCGCAACACAGUGAGACCACAUCUCUAAAAAAAAUCAAAAGAUUAGCCAGGCAUGAUGGCACGUGCCUAUAGUCCCAGCUACCUGGGAGGAUGAGGUAGGACGAUUGCUUGUGCACAGGAGGCUGAGGCUGCAGUGAGCCUUGAUCAGGCCACUGCACUCCAGCUCGGGUGACAGAGUGAGAUCGUGUCUAUAUUAAAAAAUAAAAAUAGGCCAGGUGUGGUGGCUCACACCUGUAAUCCCAGCACUUUGGGAGGCCGAGGUGGGUGAUCACCUGGGGUUAGGAAUUCGAGACCAUCCUGGCCAACGUGGUGAAACGCUGCCUCUACUAAAAAUACAAAAAUUAGCUGGGUGUUGUGGCGGGCGCCUGUAAUCCCAGCUACUAGGGAGGCUAAGGCAGGAGAAUCGCUUGAACCUGGGAGGUGGAGGUUGCAGUGAGCCAAGAUCGUGCCAUUGCACUCCAGCCUGGGUGACAAGAGCAAAACUCACUCAAAAAAAAUUAAAAUUAAAAAAGAUAAAAAUAAGGUUCAAGACCAGCCUGGCCAACAGGGUGAAACCCUAUCUCUACUAAUAAAAAUACAAAAUUAGCUGGGCGUGGUGGUGCAUGCCUGUAAUUCCAGCUUCUUGGGAAGGUGAGGCAGGACAAUUGCUUGAACCCGGCAGGUGGAGGCUGCAGUGAGCCAAGACUGCACCACCAGCCCAGGUGACAAACUGACACCGUUUCAUAAAAAUAAAUACAUAAAUAAGUAAAUAAAACAUUAAAAAAAAUAGAACAAAAGUGCAAGGAGCUGUAGGGGACUGAAGUUUGUGAACUCCGUGAGCUAGAGAUGCUGGGAGAGCAGUCAGAAGGCGAGGAAUCCUGAAAACAGGAAAUGCAUCCAGGGCCAGAGGCUUUUUCAAAUGAUGAAUCUAGAACUGCAGGUCGGGGACUCACAAGGAUCCCUGAUGGAUUCUCAAACGGAUCAUAAGUUAUGUCGGUAGGCCCAAGGGGGUGGUUGGGGCAGACUGAGCAAGCUCACGGGACAGGGCUCCCCGUCCAGCCUCCGACUGCGGCCUGGCAUCCACCGCAGUGUCCUGCUGCUUGGCAUCCACAGGUUAUUUUGGGGGUCCCCCGGCAGGGAGGAAAGGGCCUCUCGGUGGCUCCUGCGAGUGGCCUGGCAGACGCCUGAGCCAGGGUAGACAGCGAGGAGUCGCGGGCAGAGAUUUUGCUGGUCUAUCUGGCCUGGGUGCAGCCUGGAUGAAGACAGCAUGUCUGUCUGACCUCAAGCAGGGCUCGUCCCUGAGCUCAGAUGUUCGCUGCCUUCCAGAGGGGAAAGGCAGUUGGGGUCAGCAGGGCACCAGGCAGAAUGCACCCAGCUCCAGAUGGCAGGUGCAUCCCACACCCCUCCCCAAUCCCCCUGCGCAGCCCCGUGGCCGGGUUUAGGUUCAGGGGUACUUGCAGCCUAAGCUAGGGGUGGCAUCGCCGGCUCCAAGGCUGCCUCGGUUUCUCAGGCGAGUGCUGAACUUCCUGUUGCCUUAAAGAGGGCCAACACUGAAAACAGGGAGGGUUCCCGCUGCCCAGGUCCUCCACACCACUGCCGUCCACCAGGCCCACUGUGGGGUCUCAGGACAGGGCCCUGCACACCGGGGACCUGAUGAAUGUCUGUAGACUCUCAGAUGUCUGCUGAGGAGGCAGGGAACAAGCCUCCCAUCCCGUACCAGCCUCGAUCCCCGCACUGGCCCCGCAGCUCGGCCUGAGCACCGCACUCCACACGCUGCCCGGAUCCCCGCACUGGCCCGGCAGCCCGGCCUGAGCACGGCACUCCACACACUGAGCUGCACAGUGUAUUUUUCUCAGCAGCCACCAGAGGCACAUUCACCGGUGGCGCGUCCUGGUGGGCCUCCGGGUGCCGUCACCAGGCAAUUCUCCCAAACGGCUCCACUGGGCGCCUGG
rnacentral:lncRNA from 1 species